GCGCCAGUAGCUCAGUGGAUAGAGCACCGCUCUCCUAAAGCGGGUGUCGGGGGUUCGAAUCCCCCCUGGCGCA
rnacentral:tRNA from 1 species